GAUUAACGCUGGCGGCGUGCAUAACACAUGCAAGUCGAACGAGGUGGAGGACUGGUGAGUAACGCGUGAGUAACCUGCCUUACACAAGGGGAUAGCCGAUGGAAACGACGAAUAAUACCCUAUGGUGUAAGAUGGACUCGCGUCUGAUUGGAUAGUUGGUGCGGUAACGGCCCACCAAGGCAACGAUCAGUAGCCGGCUUUAGGGCAUGGACGGCAACAUUGGGACUGAGACACGGCCCAGACUUUGCGGGAGGCAGCAGUGUGGAAUUUUGCACGAUGGGGGAAACCCUGAGGCAGCGAGGCCGUGUGAUUCAGAAGGCGUUCGGGUUGUAAAAAUCUUUUAUAUGGGAAGCAGUACCAUCCGAAUAAGGACCGGCUAAUUACGUGCCAGCAGCCGCGGUAAUAC
rnacentral:rRNA from 1 species